GACGAACGCUGGCGGCGUGCUUAACACAUGCAAGUCGAGCGGAAAGGCCCCUUGUGGGUACUCGAGCGGCGAACGGGUGAGUAACACGUGAGUAAUCUGCCCUUCACUUCAGGAUAGCUCCCGGAAACGGGGAUUAAUACUGGAUAUGACGCGCCUGCGCAUGUGGGUGGGUGGAAAGUUUUUUCGGUGGGGGAUGUGCUCGCGGCCGAUCAGCUUGAUGGUGGGGUAAUGGCCUACCAUGGCUUCGACGGGUAGCCGGCCUGAGAGGGUGACCGGUCACACUGGGACUGAGACACGGCCAGACUCCUACGGGAGGCAGCAGUGGGGAAUAUUGGACAAUGGGCGGAAGCCUGAUCCAGCAACGCCGCGUGAGGGAUGACGGCCUUCGGGUUGUAAACCUCUUUCAGCACAGACGAAGCGCAAGUGACGGUAUGUGCAGAAGAAGGACCGGCCAACUACGUGCCAGCAGCCGCUGUAACAC
rnacentral:rRNA from 1 species